rnacentral:rRNA from 1 species
AUGAACGCUGGCGACGUGCCUAAUACAUGCAAGUCGAGCGAACAGACGAGGAGCUUGCUCCUCUGACGUUAGCGGCGGACGGGUGAGUAACACGUGGAUAACCUACCUAUAAGACUGGGAUAACUUCGGGAAACCGGAGCUAAUACCGGAUAAUAUAUUGAACCGCAUGGUUCAAUAGUGAAAGACGGUUUUGCUGUCACUUAUAGAUGGAUCCGCGCCGCAUUAGCUAGUUGGUAAGGUAACGGCUUACCAAGGCAACGAUGCGUAGCCGACCUGAGAGGGUGAUCGGCCACACUGGAACUGAGACACGGUCCAGACUCCUACGGGAGGCAGCAGUAGGGAAUCUUCCGCAAUGGGCGAAAGCCUGACGGAGCAACGCCGCGUGAGUGAUGAAGGUCUUCGGAUCGUAAAACUCUGUUAUUAGGGAAGAACAAAUGUGUAAGUAACUAUGCACGUCUUGACGGUACCUAAUCAGAAAGCCACGGCUAACUACGUG